rnacentral:lncRNA from 11 species
UCUCAUCUGGGGCGACGCCAUAACGACCCCCUCAGCCGCCUCCCUUUCUCCUCAGAGAAGCCUUUUCCCCACAAAAUAAUAGCUUUGCCGUCCCCGGCUCCUCUGCAGUGCAGGCAAAACUCACCCGCCAGAGGCUGAGCCCGCCUUGUCCCCGCCUCUUGCGGGAAGGAGAAGGAGGAGGAGAAAGAGAGGCAUGGAGGCCCACCUUCCCAAAAUGCAGGCCACAUUCAGACACGUGAGGUCUGGUGUAUUGUGUUCCAGAACUUUGCAGGCUGGAUUCGGAAGUCCCACAGUAUCUUUGCGUGUUCAUUUUCCAUUACCUUUGCAGGGGAAGAAAAAUAAAAGCUCAAAGGUAGUAACAGAACGAAUGGAAAGGAUGACUGGGAAGAUUUCUUCCAUUUGUCUUAACAGUCCAAUUAUGGGCCACAUCGCAGCUCAGAGCCGUCCGACGGAAUUAUCUUGCAAUCAGGUUGCCUACAAAGACCCCCAAGAAGAUGAGAGGUUUUAUUUUAUUUUAUUCUCCCAUUAAAUCUCCUUAGAUUUAAGAAGGGUCUUUGGGCAACCAAAUUAAUUGUUUUGGGGGAAAUCCUUCUUUACGGAUCACGGAGGGGAUAACGGAGGAGAAAACAGGCCUUCAGCAGACGUGAGUCAGAUGUUCUUUUGGAGUUACGGCGAUCUUCGCUUUUAAUUCCUCGUCUUGACGACAUCCACGUUAAAAGAAUAAUGAGCUCCGCGUCCCUCUUGUGUUACUCUUCUCCCUCCUUGUGUUGUUUAUGGAAUUUGUGCAUUAAGCCCCCAUUGAAAAGGGCUCAUUCUUUAUGUCAGGUGGACUUUGAGAAAACUCCAACAAACUGUAAGCAAGCAGAAGAGCCCAGACUCAGCCCAUUAUCCACCAUACAAAAGGAAACAAUGGUCAAGAUGUUACAUAUGAGAUUUUACAUUUAUUUAUUGUUUCCAUUCACAUGGCAUUUUCAGUUUUGACAGUCUCUAACGCAGUAUAAAAGAAGAGAAAAAAAAGUAAGUUAAGUCACUAUUAACAAUUAAAAAAGACCAGGAAGGAAGAAUUAAAACAUUAUAAAAAAUCUAUGAUGUCAGUAUCAUUUCUAAAACAGCAGUGGAAGACUUGGUGGAAUAAAAGCUUUUGUUGCUUUCUAAGGAUGUGUCUACGCUGCAGAAUUAAUGCAGGUUGACACCAUUUAAAUCACCAUGGCUCAAUGCUAAGGAAGGAUGGAAGUUCUUGCUUUACAAAGUUUUUAGCUUUUUUGCCAAAGAGUGUUGGUGCCUCACCAAACUACAGCUCCCAGGAUUCUAUAGCAUUGAGCCAAGGCAGAUAAAGUGAUGUCAAACUGCAUUGAGGAGAGGUGGG